rnacentral:rRNA from 1 species
AUUGAACGCUGGCGGCAGGCCUAACACAUGCAAGUCGAGCGGAGCGGCGGACGGGUGAGUAAUGCCUAGGAAUCUGCCUGGUCGUGGGGGAUAACGUCCGGAACUGGGCGCUAAUCCUCCUUCCUAUCAGCUUAGCCUAGGUCGGAUUAGCUAGUUGUUGGGGUAAAGGCCUACCACGGCGACGAUCCGUAACUGGUCUGAGAGGAUGAUCAGUCACACUGGAACUGAGACACGGUCCAGACUCCUACGGGAGGCAGCAGUGGGGAAUAUUGGACAAUGGGCGAAAGCCUGAUGCAGCCAUGCCGCGUGUGUGAAGAAGGGCUUCGGAUUGUAAAGCACUUUAAGUUGGGAGGCGUUACCAGCAGAAGAAGCACCGGCUAACUUCGUGCCAGCAGCCGCGGUAAUUC